rnacentral:rRNA from 1 species
UACGUAGGAUGGCAAGCGUUGUCCGGAAUUAUUGGGCGUAAAGAGCGCGCAGGCGGUAUGACAAGUCAGAUGUGAAAGAGGCCGGCUUAACCGGCAAGGGUCAUUUGAAACUGUCAGACUAGAGUGCGGGAGAGGAAAGUGGAAUUCCUGGUGUAGCGGUGAAAUGCGUAGAUAUCAGGAGGAACACCGGUGGUGUAGACGGCUUUCUGGACCGUAACUGACGCUGAGACACGAAAGCGUGGGUAGCAAACAGG